rnacentral:tRNA from 1 species
GGGGGUAUAGCUCAAUGGUAAAGUACUUAUCUAGCAUGUAUGAUGCCCUGGGUUUAAUCCCCAGUAUCCA